rnacentral:misc_RNA from 1 species
GAUGAAGAACGCAGCGAAAUGCGAUAAGUAAUGCGAAUUGCAGAAUUUCCGUGAGUCAUCGAAUCUUUGAACGCACAUUGCGCCCGCCAGUAUUCUGGCGGGCAUGCCUGUCCGAGCGUCAUUUCAACCCUCGAGCCCCUCCGGGGGGUCGGCGUUGGGGAUCGGCCCCUCACCGGGCCGCCCCCGAAAUACAGUGGCGGUCUCGCCGCAGCCUCUCCUGCGCAGUAGUUUGCACACUCGCACCGGGAGCGCGGCGCGGCCACAGCCGUAAAACACCCCAAGCAUUCUGAAAUGUUGACCUCGGAUCAGGUAGGAAUACCCGCUGAACUUAAGCAUAUCAAUAAGCGGAGGA